rnacentral:rRNA from 1 species
UCCUGGCUCAGGACGAACGCUGGCGGCGUGCCUAAUACAUGCAAGUCGAGCGGACAGAAGGGAGCUUGCUCCCGGAUGUUAGCGGCGGCGGGUGAGUAACACGUGGGUAACCUGCCUGUAAGACUGGGAUAACUCCGGGAAACCGGAGCUAAUACCGGAUAGUUCCUUGAACCGCAUGGUUCAAGGAUGAAAGACGGUUUCGGCUGUCACUUACAAUGGACCCGCGGCGCAUUAGCUAGUUGGUGGGGUAAUGGCUCACCAAGGCGACGAUGCGUAGCCGACCUGAGAGGGUGAUCGGCCACACUGGGACUGAGACACGGCCCAGACUCCUACGGGAGGCAGAGUAGGGAAUCUUCCGCAAUGGACGAAAGUCUGACGGAGCAACGCCGCGUGAGUGAUGAAGGUUUUCGGAUCGUAAAGCUCUGUUGUUAGGGAAGAACAAGUGCGAGAGUAACUGCUCGCACCUGAC